AUGUUGCGCACCGUGAGCUGGUGCAGCUCCUGGCCGGCCCACACGGGCCAGAUGAGCACGCAGACGGCGAGGCAGAUGAAGAUGCCGAUGGCGAUGGUGACAAGCCGCUGCUGCGCCAGCGCCACCAGCUCGUCGACGCGGUACCCCGACACGGCCACCAGGCUGUAUGUCAGGAUGAAGAUGGUCACGCCGUAG
rnacentral:rRNA from 1 species